UACGUAGGGUGCAAGCGUUAAUCGGAAUUACUGGGCGUAAAGCGUGCGCAGGCGGUUUUGUAAGUCUGUCGUGAAAUCCCCGGGCUUAACCUGGGAAUGGCGAUGGAGACUGCAAGGCUAGAGUUUGGCAGAGGGGGGUAGAAUUCCACGUGUAGCAGUGAAAUGCGUAGAGAUGUGGAGGAACACCGAUGGCGAAGGCAGCCCCCUGGGUCAAAACUGACGCUCGUGCACGAAAGCGUGGGGAGCAAACAGG
rnacentral:rRNA from 1 species